GUGAGAUUGGGAUUGUACACGGUCAUAGAAAGGAUGUAUCCAGGUAUCCAAGCAAGAUUAAAACUUUAUGCCCAAAUGGACAAAUUUCAUAAUGUCGUUGGUAUGUUUGGCAUUGAUAUGGCCGUUAUAACUAGAGAGAAGAAACAACCCGGACUAUGGUGGGAGAGCUAUGGAGGUAUUUGCAAAGAACUCCAAGAGUUAGCCACAAGAGUUCUAUCCCUCACAUGUAGUGCUACCGGGUGUGAAAGAAAUUGGAGUACCUUUCAACACAUCCAUUCAAACAAGAGGAACCGGUUAGAAGCAUAAAGAUUGAAUGCAUUAGUCUUUGUCAAGUACAAUCUCACUUUGGAGUUUAGGCAAAAGAAAUGCGAGGAGAAUGGUGAUGCUUAUGAUCCUAUUUGUCUCUCCGAUAUGGAAUUUGAUGACAAAUGGAUUACUGAAAGAGAAGACCCAUGCUUACCGCUAGACCCUUCAUGGAUGGAUAUGAAUAAGUGCUUUGAAGUUAAUAAGGGAGAAACUAGUAGAAAAGGACGUAGAGGACCAAAAAACCUUCAAAAUGACAGAAAAGGCUAAAGGAAGUUUGUUGGAGAAGAGAAUGAGGUUGAAAUUAUUGAUGAUGAUGUAGAGGAAGAAGUAGAGGAAGAAAAAGAAGAAUAUAUUGAUGAUGAUGGGGUGGUGCUGGGGGAUGACCUUGAAGAUGAUGAUGAUCUUUACAACGUUGGCGUGAGAGAGGAAUAGGAGAUUUGAGCAAAAAGACAAACUUGAUAUGUUUGGUUUACUUAUUACUUUUGACUUUUGAGCUUUUAAGUUAGCAUAUUAGUAGUAAAUGGUUAUAAACCAUGCAAUUAAGG